rnacentral:ncRNA from 1 species
CGGGGAUAGCAAGCGGACUCCCCGGCUUGCCCAGACGCUCGCCGCGUCCAAGCUCUGC